rnacentral:rRNA from 1 species
GCGUAACAAGGUUUCCGUAGGUGAACCUGCGGAAGGAUCAUUACUGAGUGAGGGCCCUCUGGGUCCAACCUCCCACCCGUGUUUAUUGUACCUUGUUGCUUCGGUGCGCCCGCCUCACGGCCGCCGGGGGGCUUCUGCCCCCGGGUCCGCGCGCACCGGAGACACCAUUGAACUCUGUCUGAAGAUUGCAGUCUGAGCAUAAACUAAAUAAGUUAAAACUUUCAACAACGGAUCUCUUGGUUCCGGCAUCGAUGAAGAACGCAGCGAAAUGCGAUAACUAAUGUGAAUUGCAGAAUUCAGUGAAUCAUCGAGUCUUUGAACGCACAUUGCGCCCCCUGGUAUUCCGGGGGGCAUGCCUGUCCGAGCGUCAUUGCUGCCCUCAAGCACGGCUUGUGUGUUGGGCUCCGUCCCCCCGGGGACGGGUCCGAAAGGCAGCGGCGGCACCGAGUCCGGUCCUCGAGCGUAUGGGGCUUUGUCACCCGCUCUGUAGGCCCGGCCGGCGCCAGCCGACAACCAAU